GACGAACCGUGCGAACGUUGUUCGGAUUCACUGGGCUUAAAGGGCGCGUAGGCGGAUGGUCAAGUCGGGGGUGAAAUCUUCAGCUUAACUGGAAAAGUGCCUCCGAUACUGAUCGUCUCGAGGGAGGUAGGGGCAUGUGGAACUUCCGGUGGAGCGGUGAAAUGCGCAGAUAUCGGGAGGAACACCGGUGGCGAAGGCGGGUUCUCUGGGCCUUACCUGACGCUGAGGAGCGAAAGCGUGGGGAGCGAACAGG
rnacentral:rRNA from 1 species